rnacentral:rRNA from 1 species
UACGAAGGGGGCUAGCGUUGCUCGGAAUUACUGGGCGUAAAGGGCGCGUAGGCGGAUCGUUAAGUCAGAGGUGAGAUCCCAGGGCUCAACCCUGGAACUGCCUUUGAUACUGGCGAUCUUGAGUAUGAGAGAGGUAUGUGGAACUCCGAGUGUAGAGGUGAAAUUCGUAGAUAUUCGGAAGAACACCAGUGGCGAAGGCGACAUACUGGCUCAUUACUGACGCUGAGGCGCGAAAGCGUGGGGGAGCAAACAGGAUUAGAUACCCUGGUAGUCCACGCCGUAAACGAUGAUUGCUAGUUGUCGGGCUGCAUGCAGUUCGGUGACGCAGCUAACGCAUUAAGCAAUCCGCCUGGGGAUACGGUCGCAAGAUUAAAACUCAAA